rnacentral:rRNA from 1 species
GACGAACGCUGGCGGCGUGCUUAACACAUGCAAGUCGAACGAAGUGGCGAACGGGUGAGUAAUACGUGGGUAACCUGCCCUCCUUUUUGGGAUAAGCCUUGGAAACGGGGUCUAAUACCGAAUACAGGGGGAUGGGCUCGCGGCCUAUCAGCUUGUUGGUGGGGUGAUGGCCUACCAAGGCGGUGACGGGUAGCCGGCCUGCGAGGGUGACCGGCCACAUUGGGAUUGAGAUACGGCCCAGACGCCUACGGGAGGCAGGAGUGGGGAAUAUUGCACAAUGGGCGCAAGCCUGAUGCAGCCAUGCCGCGUGUAUGAAGAAGGCCUUCGGGUUGUAAAGUACUUUCAGUAGGGAGGCGGGAAAGACAGAAGAAGCACAGGCUAACUCCGGGCCAGCAGCCGCGGUAAUAC